ACGGAGGGUGCGAGCGUUAAUCGGAAUUACUGGGCGUAAAGCGCAUGCAGGCGGCCUGUUAAGUCAGAUGUGAAAGCCCGGGGCUUAACCUCGGAAUUGCAUUUGAAACUGGCAGGCUAGAGUCUUGUAGAGGGGGUAGAAUUUCAGGUGUAGCGGUGAAAAUGCGUAGAGAUCUGAAGGAAUACCAGUGGCGAAGGCGGCCCCCUGGACAAAGACUGACGCUCAGAUGCGAAAGCGUGGGGAGCAAACAGGAUUAGAUACCCUGGUAG
rnacentral:rRNA from 1 species